CGGGCACGGCGGGGACGGGGACGAGCGGGAUCCGCCGUCCCUGACGGAGAGUGCCCGAAGGCUUGGAGUUGUGCUGUCACUGCUGUUGUGCGAAAACGGGGCACAGUAACUAUGAUGUGCUAAGGAACACCAGGGCUCAGGGAAAAUCUGUGAUGUUGUCCUAGUUUAUUUACAGAGUUACCAUCCUGAUUCUUCAUGUCACUGAUGUCAAGCAGCUCUCCUGGAAGCCUUUAAGGACAACAGAAAAUAACUUAUGACAAUUAGACUAAAUAGCAGAAAUGAACUAUUUUAAUCCUUCACUCUAAGGACAAAAACACAUGCUGCACUACAGCUGUGAACUCAGGAACUCAGGAAGUUGGCUGGGGGUAGACAGGAAGCUGGGAGGGAACCAGCAGGGCAGUUGACCUGAAGUGGCCAAAGGGAUGGUCCAUACUAUAUGGUACCAUGCUCAGCAAUAAGAACUGAGGUAGAAGGCAAAGAAGGGGAGAUUGUCUUCCAAGGUGUCUCCUGAUUUGACAUCAGUCUGCUUGUGAGAGGUGGUGAAUGAUUGCCUGUGCAUCACUGGACAUCACAUCUCUUUCCUUCACGUAUUAAAUUUGUUUUUACCUCAA